rnacentral:lncRNA from 1 species
CAAACUCAACCAAGUCAAAUAAUUCAAUUCCACAUUAUUUCUAUCAAAUUAGGAUCAGAUGACUCAUCCUUACAUUUCCUCACAUUUUUAAAUUUCAGUAACCACUUGACAAGACUAUCCGCCCGGCUCAGUCUUGCCAUCUCACAUACUCGGGUAGCUAUCUGCCCGGCUCAGCUUUCCCGAUCACACAAUAUCCAUACAAAAGUCAUCAAUCCUUAAUCACAAUCAUUUCACUUCACAACACAUCACAAUCAAUUCACUUCACAACACAUCACAAUCAAUUCACUUUAUAACAAGCCAAAAACAUAACUAAUAUCAACUCAGUCAACCAAGAAAUUAUCAAGUAAUCAAACAGCAGUCCCUACUCAAUAUACACAAAGUUUAG